GAUAAACGCUGGCGGCGUGCUUUAAGCAUGCAAGUCGAACGGAUGCUCGCAAGAGUAUGAGUGGCAGACGGCUGAGGAAGACGGAAGGAACCUACCCUUCAGAGGGGGAUAACUCCGCGAAAGCGGGGCUAAGACCGCGUACGCUCAUUCUGGGGAGAACGGAGUGAGGAAAACCGCGAGGUGCUGAAGGAGGGGCUUCCGGCCCAUCAGGUAGUUGGUGAGGUAACGGCCCACCAAGCCGAUGACGGGUCGCUGGUCUAAGAGGAUGAU
rnacentral:rRNA from 1 species